rnacentral:rRNA from 1 species
GUGUCAGCCGCCGCGGUAACACGUAGGGGGCGAGCGUUGUCCGGAUUCAUUGGGCGUAAAGAGCUCGUAGGCGGCUCAGUAAGUCGGGUGUGAAACCCUCAGGCUCAACCUGGGGACGCCACUCGAUACUGCUGUGGCUAGAGUCCAGUAGAGGAGUGUGGAAUUCCCGGUGUAGCGGUGAAAUGCGCAGAUAUCGGGAGGAACACCAACGGCGAAGGCAGCACUCUGGGCUGGAACUGACGCUGAGGAGCGAAAGCGUGGGUAGCAAACAGGAUUAGAUACCCCCGUAGUCC